rnacentral:rRNA from 1 species
UUCCCUACGGGGGGCUGCAGUAGGGAAUAUUGGUUAAUGGGCGAAAGCCCGACCCAGCAACGCCGCGUGCACGAAGAAGGCCUUCGGGUUGUAAAGUGCUUUUUAGUGGGAUGAGGAAGGACAGUACCACUAGAAUAAGUCUCGGCUAACUACGUGCCAGCAGCCGCGGUAACACGUAGGAGACGAGCGUUAUCCGGAUUUACUGGGUGUAAAGCGCGUGCAGGCGGUCGGGUAAGUUGGAUGUGAAAGCUCCUGGCUUAACUGGGAGAGGUCGUUCAAAACUGCCGGGCUAGAGUGCAACAGAGGGGAGUGGAAUUCCGAGUGUAGCGGUAAAAUGCAUAGAUAUUCGGAAGAACACCAGUGGCGAAGGCGGCUCUCUGGGUUGCAACUGACGCUCAGACGCGAAAGCUAGGGUAGCGAACGGGAUUAGAUACCCCUGUAGUCGG